GGCUGGUCUGAGGGUAGUGAGUUAUCUCCCUCGAUUGUUCACACAUCACUAACAGAUCAACCUCCUUGUUCUAUUCCUUCCCUCCCUUCUCACUACUGCACUUGACUAGACUAAG
ensembl:misc_RNA Y_RNA Y RNA